GGAAGAGCGGGGCUAUCUGCAGUCGAGCGGACAGAUGGGAGCUUGCUCCCUGAUGUUAGCGGCGGACGGGUGAGUAACACGUGGGUAACCUGCCUGUAAGACUGGGAUAACUCCGGGAAACCGGGGCUAAUACCGGAUGCUUGUUUGAACCGCAUGGUUCAAACAUAAAAGGUGGCUUCGGCUACCACUUACAGAUGGACCCGCGGCGCAUUAGCUAGUUGGUGAGGUAAUGGCUCACCAAGGCAACGAUGCGUAGCCGACCUGAGAGGGUGAUCGGCCACACUGGGACUGAGACACGGCCCAGACUCCUACGGGAGGCAGCAGUAGGGAAUCUUCCGCAAUGGACGAAAGUCUGACGGAGCAACGCCGCGUGAGUGAUGAAGGUUUUCGGAUCGUAAAGCUCUGUUGUUAGGGAAGAACAAGUGCCGUUCAAAUAGGGCGGCACCUUGACGGUACCUAACCAGAAAGCCACGGCUAACUACGUGCCAGCAGCCCGGNUAAUACGA
rnacentral:rRNA from 1 species